GGGAGGGAGUGAGGGUGGAGCCGCACCGGCACGAGGGUGUGUUCAUCUGCCGCGGGCGCGAGGACGCGCUGGUGACGCGGAACCUGGUGCCGGGAGAGUCGGUGUACGGCGAGAAACGGAUCAGCGUGGAGGAGGGCGAGGCGUCGGUGGAGUACCGCGCCUGGAACCCGUUCCGCUCCAAGCUGGCCGCCGCCAUCCUGGGCGGCAUCGACCGCAUCCACAUCCGGCCGGGGGCGCGGGUGCUGUACCUGGGCGCCGCCUCGGGCACCACCGUCAGCCACGUCUCCGACAUCGUGGGGCAGGUGAGACACACCUGGGCACA